GACGAACGCUGGCGGCGUGCUUAACACAUGCAAGUCGAACGCUGAAGCUUGGUGCUUGCACUGGGUGGAUGAGUGGCGAACGGGUGAGUAAUACGUGAGUAACCUGCCCUUGACUCUGGGAUAAGCCUGGGAAACUGGGUCUAAUACUGGAUACGACAUGCCACUGCAUGGUGGUGUGUGGAAAGGGUUUUACUGGUUUUGGAUGGGCUCACGGCCUAUCAGCUUGUUGGUGGGGUAAUGGCCUACCAAGGCGACGACGGGUAGCCGGCCUGAGAGGGUGACCGGCCACACUGGGACUGAGACACGGCCCAGACUCCUACGGGAGGCAGCAGUGGUGAAUAUUGCACAAUGGGCGGAAGCCUGAUGCAGCGACGCCGCGUGAGGGAUGACGGCCUUCGGGUUGUAAACCUCUUUCAGCACGGAAGAAGCGAGAGUGACGGUACGUGCAGAAGAAGCGCCGGCUAACUACGUG
rnacentral:rRNA from 1 species